rnacentral:rRNA from 1 species
AUUGAACGCUGGCGGCAGGCCUAACACAUGCAAGUCGAGCGAGCGGCGGACUGGUGAGUAAUGUCUGGGCAACUGCCUGAUGGAGUGGGAUAACUACUGGAAACGGUAGCUACUACCGCAUACCCUCAGUUGUGCCCAGAUGGGAUUAGCUAGUAGGUGGGGUAACGGCUCACCUAGGCGCCGAUCCCUAGCUGGUCUGAGAGGAUGACCAGACACACUGGAACUGAGACACGGGCCAGACUCCUACGGGAGGCAGCAGUGGGGAAUAUUGCACAAUGGGCGCAAGCAUGAUGCAGCCAUGCCGCGUGUGUGAAGAAGGCCUGCGGGUUGUAAAGCACUUUCAGCGGGGAGGCGUUACCCGCAGAAGAAGCACCGGCUAACUCCGUGCCAGCAGCCGCGGUAAUA